rnacentral:tRNA from 1 species
AAGGCUUUAGCUUAAUUAAAGUACUUGAGUUGCAGUCAAAAUAUAUGAGGUAAAAUCUCGUAAGUCUUA